GUGGGAUGUCCCCAGAGUGUGACCGAGAGCAAACCUUUCUUGUUUUUCUUUUAUAUUGACGACGCUAUUGUCCGGUUGAAAUAUUAUCGAUUAUUUAGGCUAAAAACAACCUGAGGUUUGAUUGUAAACAUCGUUUGACAUGUUUCUAUGAACUUUACAGAUACUAUUUGGAAUUUUUGACUGCCUGUUGUGACUGCAUUUGAGCCAUUGGAUUACUGAACAAAACGCACCAACAAAAUGGAGGUUAUUGGAUUUAUAGAGGGACUUUAUUGAACAAAACAAACAUUUAUUGUGUAACUGGGAGUCUUGUGAGUGCAACCAUACGAAGAUCAUCAAAGAGUAGCCCCGCGCACGUCGGAACUUUUGGUGCAGCCUUCAGAACGCGCUAACAACAACAAGCUAAUGGAACAUAGAGGAUGAACUUUUUCGACCGAAAAUACAUCUGUUGUGGACCUGGGAUUCCUGGAAGUGCUUUCUGAUGAAGACAACUAAAGGUAACCAUGGUUGACAGAGGAAGAACAAUGAUUCCAAGCACCACCCUCCUUUUGAAGCUUCCAGUCUGUUAUUCGAACUCAAUCAGCAUGACAGAGUUAUCUCCAGCCUUGUCCUCGUCAACACUCACACCUGUGUUAACGAGAGAAUCACUGACAUGAUGUCAGCUGGUCCUUUUGUGGCAGGGCUGAAAUGCAGUGGAAAUGUUUUUGGGGGAUUCAGUUCAUUUGCAUGGCAAAGAGAGACUGCAAUUAAUUGCAAUUCAUCUGACCACUUUUCAUAACAUUCUGGAGUAUAUGCAAAUUGCCAUCAUACAAACUGAGGCAGCAGACCUUGUGAAAAUGAAUUUUUAUGGCAUUCUCAAAACUUUUGGCCACGACUGUACACAGCCAAGACAAUGCAGGAGUGGGUUCGGGACAAGUCUCUGAAUAUCUUUGAGUUGCCCAGCCAGAGCCCUGACGUGAAC
rnacentral:lncRNA from 1 species